rnacentral:lncRNA from 1 species
CUAAAAUAUGGUUUUAGUCCCUGCAAAUAUGCCUCGUUUUGAUUUUAGUCCCUGGUAAAAAAAAAAUUUGCUUUUGGUCCCUGCAAAAUUUUUUGUUUUUGAAAAUAGUCCCUGACCCCACUUUUGUGAUGAUUUGCAUACGUGGCACAUUAUAACUGAACCAAUUUUAUAGUUUUUGGUCCCUGCAAAAUAUUUUGUUUUUAAAAAAGGUCC